GUUAGUGUUGGAGCUUCCCUGCUCUCUGGAGAAAUCUUUCCUAACUGUGCUCAUUUUCCAGAAUAAAAAGCCAAUGGGGGAAAAGAAUCUUUAUAGCCCCAUGCCUACUGGAACUUCUCCCUGUUUCCAUUAUGAGACAAGUAGAGUAUGACCCACAAGCAACCAGAGUGCAAGCAGACGCUAGUGCACGCCACAUGUAGAAGGCCCGACAAGAAACAGUUUGAUGACAUUGCCAGGCAUUGGCAGCCCUCUAGCAUGGAAGAGGCCUAAGAAGCCUGUUAAAAUACAAUGCCAGAAGAAAAGAGGAUCGGAGAAGACAUCCAAUAAUUAAGUCACUUUGCCUGGCAAGUGUUCCGUUAGAAGCCACACAAAUGGGGAAUUCAGAAAACACCAAGAAACACAAUGGGCUAUGCAAAUAUGUUAUGGAAAAGAAGAACAUUACAAGGAAAAACCAAAUGACUCUACCACCGAUUAAUGUGAAGUCAAAACGGUCACAUGCCCACAUUUUGUGUGUGUGUGUGUAUUUUUUUAACAUCCCUAGAAGAAUUUCUUUCAGCAGAUUUAACUGAAAAUGCCUGAUUAUGUCAUCAAAAUGAAGUCAAUGUAGGAACCUACCAGUGUUUGCAAAAUGUUUCAUCAUGAAAGAAGACACAGUCAAGUUUUUCAACACUUGCUACAAUGAAGCGGAGUAUGCAAUUAUUGUGUUUAUUUGGGAGCAUAAUACCAGAAUCAUCCAAAUAUUUGCUCGCCAAAUAUUAAGGGACAAAAACAAGGUCCUAAACACAAUAGACUUCCAGGAUCCAAUUUCCAUUCAGAACUGUAGAGCUCUAAGAGACCACUAGGUAAAAGGCACAAAUUACUCUGAAAUUCGUUGAGGGUUCUCAUUCAGGUCAUAGGUCUUGCCCUAUGGUUAUUAUUCAUCCACAACAUGCUUUGAUGAGUAAUAUGACACUAAAUUAGUAUAUACAAACCUUAGGAUAAUCAUCCAAGUCAAGUACAAAGAUUAGGUUACUCUUCAAUCCAGUGGCUAUAGGUAGCACACAUUUAGUCCCUCAUGAAAGGUGUAUAGCCAAACCCAUCUGUUUCUCAUCUGUCAUAUUUGUUUGUUAUUAAAUCAUGAAAAAUGUAAGGGAUUAUUUUCAUGUAACUUAUUGUAAUGCACACUUGCUCUAAUAAUGCCUUCCUCCUAGACUACCAUCUUUUCAAAUGUGAUGAGAUCAUCAGGUAACAGUGUAAGAUAUGAAGGCUUAGCCUGCUGUGUUGUUAGCACAUUAAAAAAAGAAAUUGCUGGGAUAAUUAACAACUACCUAUUUGUCUGUGGGAUGCAUUCAUUAUGGUUCUACAAAUUGGAGGUCUCCAAAAUCUGUGCAGUAAAAUUUACUCUUUGUUCAGGAAGUUCCCCUUGGAUUUGGGGAAAAUUCUGGUUUGCUGUGUCUAUUGUAAUUGUGACAGGCAGUUGACAUGUCUCAUAGUCUAAAUGUAGUGGCAAGCAGGGGGUGGUACAACGAUGAAAAAACUGCCAUUCAUUCUUGUGCAAAGGAAAGGUGUUUCUUAGCAUAUUCCAACCUAUGUUCAGACUAGAGUUGGGUCUCUGGGGUUGAAGGUCAAAUCUGUGAGGUCAAAGCUAUUUCUUGUCAAUCUUCGUUCACUAAUGACACAUGAAUUGGAAAUUAGAACAAAGUAAGUAAAACGAAUAGCCAGAAGGUGAGUGUCUGUUUUAUUACUCAGAAGAGCUGGGAAAUCUGGCCAAUUGUUGCCCUAUGUGGCUUGAAUGACAGUUGUUAAGUUGAAAAAGGGACAGUGUGAUGGGAAUGCCACUUUAAAUCUCAAUUACCUCCUCCACUCCAAUCAGCUUGGUAGAGCUUUAAUGAAGUGCAAUUCUCUGUCCUUUUCCUCAUACUUCUAUCUCUAGAAUAAGCCUCACAUUCAAGUUUGACAGCAGUACAAUCAGUUUUCCAUUCAUCACUGGCCCUGUUUUAACCCUGCUGAAAAAGGGCCUAAUGUACGUGGCAGUGAUGGCAAUUAGGCAGAAAAGUAAUAUUAGAAACAGACAAAAGCCUGAGUCUUUUAGUAUUACAGGUGUUUUUUUUUUUAGCUCGUUCUAGACAUAAAGGAAUAGGCAGUGUUGUUAAGUUCCCUUCUUCAGUCUUCUCUUAAGCCGAAAGUCCAACGAUUUCAAGAUUCAAUUAAUUAGAGACAUGGAGAGCCAAAGAACAAGGUAAAAGCUAAGUUCUUUCUAACUGAAGACACACUUAGUAAUUGGCCCCUUAUUAAAAUGGAUAUCUUCUGGGUGUAUGUUUAAUAAGGUUGAUAAAAAGUCGUCAUUUCCUCAUUAGGACAGUAGAUGAAUACACUGUAUGUAGGAAGAAAUCUUAAAGAGAACAAACAGGAAAAUAUCAAUCUGUGAAAUAUAGGAAUGUAAAACAUUAAAACUGGAAAGCCUGGGAACUCUAACUUUGAUGAGGUAGGGAUGAUGUAAAAUGUAUUAUCAGUGUGUGUGUGUGUGUGUGUGUGUGUGUGUGUGUGUGUCUGCAUAUCUCUCUGUGUGUAAGCACAGGGAUCAUUUUAUUUCAUAUCAGCCUUGGCUACUUAGACUAGCUAGAAAUGCAAAAUAUUUAAGCAUUUGAGUUUUCUAACAUGGAGGUACCAAUGAUUUGCUAAUAUGGCGAAUUUUUUUUCUUCCCCAAAGGAUGAGAUAUUUGAAAUAGGCUUCUCUGUGAAGAAUAAUGUAAGGUUUCCAUAGCUAUACAUCCAUACAUCGCUAUCUGCACAUGUGUGUAAAUAAAUCCAUAUAUAAUAUGUACACACAUUUAAAGAGACAGCAUACUUGUUUGUGUGUGUGUGUGUAGGUAGUCACUUAUGCAGAAGUAUGUGUGUGUGUAUGUGUGUCUGUAAUCUGGGCAUGUUUGUAAAUGCAUACCUAGUAGCACAUGAAACCAAAGGAAGAAGAGUCCAUAGAUUCAUGUGUGUGUGUCUCUGUGUGUGUGUGUGUGUGUUUUUAAUUGUGUUAUAUAUGUUUUCCUAACAGUUCUUUUUAUGCCAAUUUUUGAAAAUGUCAGCAAGGUUGGGGUGGGUUUUUUUUGGUUUUGUUUUGUUUGAUA